GGGCAUUUAGUUUAAGAAAAAACAUUUGAUUUCGGCUCAAAAGAAGCUGGUUUAAAUCCACACUAGCCCU
rnacentral:tRNA from 1 species